AUUGAACGCUGGCGGCGUGCUUAACACAUGCAAGUCGAACGAAGGGGCGAACGGGUGAGUAACGCGUAAUCAACCUGCCCUUCAGAGGGGGACCACAGUAGGAAACGACUGCUAAUACCGCAUACUGAAGGAGGGGAUUGCGGCUGAUUAGCUAGGUGGAGGGGUAACGGCCCACCAAGGCGAUGAUCAGUAGCCGGUCUGGGCGGAUGAACUGCCACAUUGGGACUGAGACACGGCCCAGACUCCUACGGGAGGCAGCAGUGGGGACUCUUCCGCAAUGGACGAAAGUCUGACGGAGCAACGCCGCGUGAGUGAUGACGGCCUUCGGGUUGUUAAGCUCUGUUAAUCGGGACGCGGUACCGGAAUAGAAAGCCACGGCUAACUACGUGCCAGCAGCCGCGGUAAUUC
rnacentral:rRNA from 1 species